rnacentral:rRNA from 1 species
UACGUAGGGGGCUAGCGUUGUCCGGAAUCAUUGGGCGUAAAGAGCGCGUAGGCGGCCAGAUAAGUCCGGUGUGAAAGUCACAGGCUCAACCUGUGAAUGCCGCUGGAAACUGUAUGGCUAGAGUCCGGAAGGGGCGAGUGGAAUUCCUGGUGUAGCGGUGAAAUGCGUAGAUAUCAGGAGGAACACCGGUGGCGAAGGCGGGUCUCUGGGCCGAUACUGACGCUGAGGAGCGAAAGCGUGGGGAGCGAACAGG